rnacentral:tRNA from 1 species
CAUUAAGAAGCUAAAUAGUAGAAAGCGUCAGCCUUUUAAGCUGAAGAAUGGUGACUACUAACCACCCUUAGUGA